rnacentral:rRNA from 1 species
UACGUAGGUGGCAAGCGUUGUUUGGAAUAACUGGGCGUAAAGGAUGCGUAGGCGGUUAAACAAGUUAUAUGUUAAAUAUAUAGGCUUAACCUGUAGAAAGCAUAUAAAACUGUUUAACUAGAGUGAAGGAGAGGUAAGUGGAAUUCCUAGUGUAGCGGUGAAAUGCGUAGAGAUUAGGAAGAACACCAGUGGCGAAGGCGACUUACUGGACUGUAACUGACGCUGAGGCAUGAGAGCAUGGGGAGCAAACAGG